rnacentral:rRNA from 1 species
CCUACGGGAGGCUGCAGUGGGGAAUAUUGGACAAUGGGGGGAACCCUGAUCCAGCCAUGCCGCGUGUGUGAAGAAGGCCCUCGGGUUGUAAAGCACUUUCAGUGAGGAAGAACGCCUGGUGGUUAAUACCGAUCAGGAAAGACAUCACUCACAGAAGAAGCACCGGCUAACUCCGUGCCAGCAGCCGCGGGAAUACGGAGGGUGCGAGCGUUAAUCGGAAUUACUGGGCGUAAAGCGCGCGUAGGUGGCUUGAUAAGCCGGUUGUGAAAGCCCCGGGCUCAACCUGGGAACGGCAUCCGGAACUGUCAAGCUAGAGUGCAGGAGAGGAAGGUAGAAUUCCCGGUGUAGCGGUGAAAUGCGUAGAGAUCGGGAGGAAUACCAGUGGCGAAGGCGGCCUUCUGGACUGACACUGACACUGAGGUGCGAAAGCGUGGGUAGCAAACAGGAUUAGAUACCCCAGUAGUC